rnacentral:rRNA from 1 species
UACGUAGGGGGCGAGCGUUGUCCGGAAUCACUGGGCGUAAAGCGCACGUAGGCGGGCUGUUAAGUCGGCCGUGAAAGACACGGGCUCAACCGGUGCAUGUCGGUCGAUACUGGCGGUCUGGAGUAUGGGAGAGGGGACUGGAAUUCCCGGUGUAACGGUGAAAUGCGUAGAUAUCGGGAGGAACACCAGUGGCGAAGGCGGGUUCCUGGCCCAUUACUGACGCUGAGGUGCGAAAGCGUGGGGAGCGAAGCAG